rnacentral:misc_RNA from 1 species
UUUCCGUAGGUGAACCUGCGGAAGGAUCAUUACUGAGUUUGAAUGAAGUUGUUCUGGUCUUUCGGGGCAAGUGAACGCUUCUCUCAAUCCAUCUUACACCUGUGCACCUAUCGGGGAAGACUUGGAUCUAAGUUGGGUCACGACGGCGAUCUACAGUCUCCUCUUUAUACCAAAUAACAGUUUUAGAAAGUCUUUUUUGCUUGAUGCAAACUUAAAUAAAUACAACUUUCAGCAACGGAUCUCUUGGCUCUC